AUUGAACGCUGGCGGCAGGCCUAACACAUGCAAGUCGAGCGGAUGAAGGGAGCUUGCUCCUGGAUUCAGCGGCGGACGGGUGAGUAAUGCCUAGGAAUCUGCCUGGUAGUGGGGGAUAACGUCCGGAAACGGGCGCUAAUACCGCAUACGUCCUGAGGGAGAAAGUGGGGGAUCUUCGGACCUCACGCUAUCAGAUGAGCCUAGGUCGGAUUGCUAGUUGGUGGGGUAAAGGCCUACCAAGGCGACGACCCGUAACUGGUCUGAGAGGAUGAUCAGUCACACUGGAACUGAGACACGGUCCAGACUCCUACGGGAGGCAGCAGUGGGGAAUAUUGGACAAUGGGCGAAAGCCUGAUCCAGCCAUGCCGCGUGUGUGAAGAAGGUCUUCGGAUUGUAAAGCACUUUAAGUUGGGAGGAAGGGCAGUAAGUUAAUACCUUGCUGUUUUGACGUUACCAACAGAAUAAGCACCGGCUAACUUCGUG
rnacentral:rRNA from 1 species